ACGGAGGGUGCAAGCGUUGUUCGGAAUUACUGGGCGUAAAGCGCGCGCAGGCGGCAUAACAAGUCGGGUGUGAAAUCCCUGGGCUCAACCCAGGACGUGCGCCUGAAACUGUCAUGCUAGAGUUUGGGAGAGGGAUGUGGAAUUCCUGGUGUAGAGGUGAAAUUCGUAGAGAUCAGGAGGAACACUCGUGGCGAAGGCGACAUCCUGGACCAAAACUGACGCUGAGGCGCGAAAGCGUGGGGAGCAAACAGG
rnacentral:rRNA from 1 species